GUGAUCACUUCAGCAGCACUUAUUCUAAAAUUGGAAUGAUACGAGAAGAUUAGCAUGGCCCCUGUGCAAGGAUGACAUGCAAAUUUGUGAAGUAUUCCAUAUUUGU